AGUGAACGCUGGCGGUAGGCCUAACACAUGCAAGUCGAACGGCAGCACAGUAAGAGCUUGCUCUUACGGGUGGCGAGUGGCGGACGGGUGAGGAAUACAUCGGAAUCUACUUUUUCGUGGGGGAUAACGUAGGGAAACUUACGCUAAUACCGCAUACGACCUACGGGUGAAAGCAGGGGAUCUUCGGGCCUUGCGCGAUUGAAUGAGCCGAUGUCGGAUUAGCUAGUUGGCGGGGUAAAGGCCCACCAAGGCGACGAUCCGUAGCUGGUCUGAGAGGAUGAUCGGCCACACUGGAACUGAGACGCGGUCCAGACUCCUACGGGAGGCAGCAGUGGGGAAUAUUAGACAAUGGGCGCAAGCCUGAUCCAGCCAUACCGCGUGGGUGAAGGAGGCCUUCGGGUUGUAAAGCCCUUUUGUUGGGAAAGAAAAGCAGCAGGUUAAUACCCCGCUGUUCUGACGGUACCCAAAGAAUAAGCACCGGCUAACUUCGUG
rnacentral:rRNA from 1 species